CCAGGCUGGGCUGCGCGGUCCCGCAGCGCCCUCAGCGCAGUGCGGCGCAACGCAGCGCGGGGCGAGCAGGAUCCCCGAGGCCAGACGCUCGCUGCAGCCCUUUCUCUCGAUGCGGAGGAAAACCCAGAGACCCUUGCCCGCCACACACUCCUGUCUUUCCCGGUGGAUGAGGUCGCCUGUAGAUCCAGGCUGGGCUUUGCGGACUUCCCGGUUGGAGUGAAGGAGAGUUCCUGUUGCUCUACAUCCUCACCAGCGGUUGACGAUGUCACUGUUCUGGAGUUUGGUCAUUCUAAUAGGCUGCUGCCGCCUCAGUCCCUGCACCGAGUAAGAAAACCAUCCCUAACUGCGCCGCCCAUCCCUCUCCUGUGUCUUCCACCUGAAGGGGAACCAUGAAGAAAAAGGACUGAGAAAAAAACAGAGAAAAGGUAAUUUUUUUUUCCUCUUUUCCUGGGGUCAUCCAGAGAAAUUACCUUAUAUAACGCAAUAAAGAAAUCCAAGCUACGCUCAAACCCUCUUGUGUCCGUGAGACAUGGGAGACACAAGUAACAGAUACACUGAUCACGUUAAAUUUACGCUUUCUCCAAAAUGGUAGUAAAGUCAGUGAGCGAUCAUGAACGUGAGCAGAUAUCACUAACAGCAAGAUUAUGUGAAAGAAGAUCUCAAAGAACAGGACUUAAAUCUUGAGGUUAUAAGAAAAGACAUCUAUUUACUGGAGAAUACCUAAUGUUGUUUUAAAUAUAAGAUAAUGCCAUCUCCCCGUAUUCCAGAUAGGAGUUAUUUUCCAGUCUCCUCCUCUAGACAUGCAAUAUUUCUUACCAAAUCUUCGAACCGUCAGGACUUACUUGAUGAUGCUCUCUGGAAUAUGGAUGCAGUCCAUUGGGAUCAGCCCACUGAGUUCUGAUAAGCUACUGACAUAUUUAAUUUUGCUGCUGAAUUUUGAACUGAAGAAAAGAAGAAAAAAGAGAUUAGUCGUGCCAUCAUCCCCUCCCAAGGCUGCUGCCUCUGCCUGACAAUGCUGAUAGACUUGUCACCUUGCCCCAGAACUCUUACUAAGAAGGGCUGCAUUGUUUGAGUGGUUACUAUAUGCCAGAUUUUAAGUGGUUUAUAUAAUAUUAACUCAUUUAUUUCCCAUUAUAGCCCAGUGAGGUAGGUACUAUUAUUAUUCUCUUUUUAAAGAUAAGGAAACUCAAGACAUAGGAAAUUAAGUAUCUGCUCAAGGUCUCACCUUCGUUGAAAGAGAACUUGAUCAAGCAUCAAACUUUCUUAGUCUCUCAUGAAAAGGCCCCGUCAGCCUUCUGGGAGGAUGCUGAGCUGUCUGCCACCUGAACUGCCUUCUGUUCAACUGCCGUGCAUCCUGAUAGGACGUCUUUUCAAGGUCAUUUCUCUAUACACUGUCUUUCACAUUUCUCUUGCAGUUUUGACCCUGGGCCGUGAGUCUUGGGUGGACACACUACCAAUGACAUGCUCUCUUAGGUCACUUCCUUCCUCUGGAGGUUCUGAGCUACAUUUUGGUUUUGAUAAAAGGUGGAGUGGGUAGAAUAAGAGGGUAGAAGUCAUGCAAGGGGGAAACCUCCAGCUCUGGGGGUGCGUUCACUGGAAUGGACUGUUCUCCAAACAGGCCAUGUUCUUUCCUUCCUGGUGUAUUUGUACCUGCUGCUUCCUCUUCCUCUACCUGUUUUUAGCUAGCCCAUCCUAUUCGUUUUUCAAAACUCGUUUUGCAGGCUCAUUCUUUUGGAAAGACGCUCCUGAUGCAGAUUCUCAGUCCUCACGCUCCACCUGUUACCUUAAGCACCCCCGCAGCCUGAGUGACACCCCCUCGUGCUUCCUUUGUGCCUGGCUUAUGACUGUUCACUAGCCGGCCGAGGUCAGCUGCCAGGCUGUGAGCCCCUUGAGGACAGCGGUUGAGCUGUGUAGUUCUCAGCCUCCAGCAGCUAACCCAGUGCUUGACACAGACAAACAAUUCAUUUAGAAAAUGAAGUGGCCAUAUACCUCCAUCACAGGUGUCACCCUUUAGCAGUGAAAAGACGUAGAAUACGUUUUGGUGACUUUUUUUUUUUCCAAAUUGAAAAGUUGCUUUCCCUGAUUCACAGGGAGCUCUUUAAAGAGAAUCUUACAUGAUGAAACUGUAGAAUACAAUGUUUAAGUACUCGAAAUGCAUUUUCUUUAGAAUCAGGCGGGCACUGGGUUCAAGGCCUGAGUCUGUCAUUUAUUGGCUAUGUUACCUUAGACCUGCGGUUGGCCAGCUAAUUGACUGUUUUUAAUAAUCCUUGAGCUGAGAAUGGUUUUUACAUUUUUUAAAUGGUUGAAAAAUGAUCCCAAUGAGAAUAUUUUGUGACAUGUAAAAAGUAUCAGGAAAUUCAGCUUCGGUGUUCAUAAAUCAAGUUUUACUGGCGCACAGCCACACUUACUUAUUUCCAUAUUGUCUACAGCUGUUUUUGCCCUACCAUGGCGGAGCUAAGGAGUUGUGAUUGAGACCGUAUGGCCCACAAAACCUAAAAUAUUAUAUCUGAUCCUCUACAGAAUGGGUUUGCUGGCUCCUGCUUUGGACAAUUUAUUUGACCUCACCUCACUGUUUUUUCCCAUAACAGAAAGGGUAAAUAGAACUUCCUUCAGAGGAUUGUCAUUAGAGUUAAAUAAAAUAAUGCAUGUAAAUACUCCAUAAAUGUAAGCCAUUAUUGUAUGUGAUUUACCACAAUACUACCUGCUACAAUUUUAAUAUUGUUGUUGUAAUUAUUCUCCUCUUGCCACUCCCUUCAGUAAGAAGUGUUGACUUAUUUUAUGGUAAGAAUAUUGAAAAAUGAUUAUAUUUAUCAAGAAGAAACAUGUUUGUUUUAUAAUUAUAAGAGCUGAAUUAUUAAACAAACAUCAGUGAACCAGUAUCAAUUCUAAAGUUUACUUUUUUGGUCAUUGGAGUUUGUGUAAGCUUUUUAUUAUACAUUGAUUCCUA